UUUUCAACCCAAUUGUAAGGUAAAUGUAAUACCUACCUCAUUGUUUGCUCGCUGCCCUGCAAGGGGGUGUGACAGGGAAUGAAGCCCUUUCUCAGACUCAACAUUUUAGUCAUCUGCCCUCUAAUCCUUUCCUUUUGCCUGCUUGUCAAACCUGUAUCUCCUUUGGUAAAAAGUCAGAGCACACAACAAGGGGUCCAGAUCAAGAGGAAGCAAAAUGCUGCCCAGAUUCUGAGAAACCUGGAGAAAAUCAACCUUCGGAGUUUCAACACACACGUUGUCCUGUUUGAUUUUGUUCUUUGUUUUUUAUCCUCUUAAGGACAGAUACAUGUUGAAGUCUAUGGUGUUCUGUCAUCUCAUUCUCUUUACCAGAAUAGGUGUGCCCAGGCAGAAAAAAAAAGGGUAUUCAAAUGUUGCUGGCAUGUGUGGAUUCACAGCUGGUGGCUCUGAGGAAGUCUGGGAGUUUCAUAAAUCCAUUCAAAUCCUUUUAGACUUGC